UUAAGAAUACUAAGAGGUAUUAUCUUCUUUCUUAGCUUCUAUACAUGUUUAAAUUCCUGUGAUUGAGUUCACUAAAUAGAAAACAGGAACAUGUACACCCCAUUCUAAAUGACUGAGAAAGAAAUGGAUAAACAAGACCAUAUUUAGCAAAGCAUUUUAAUUUGGGGAAGAAACUGAACAAAGAAAAGAAAAAGAACAUUAAUAAUGCUGAACUUCAGUGAACUACAUUUAUUAGCAUCCAUGUUGUUCUCCCAGUUAAUAUAGAGAUAUCUUGUAUUAUACAGAAUAACUGUCACCCAUGUUUCCAUUUAUGACAACAUUCUGAAAAUAUUCCGAUUUGCUCAAAGCAGAGAUCAUCGAUGCCAGCUGAUUGAGUGCACUAACCUUCCCAGAUCUAUACAUGUGCAUGCUUGUAUAUGUAUAAAUGUAUACAGUGGUCACACCUCUGAGACUUUUUGGCUGCUGGUCAUCAACGUCUUAUUCUCCCAUGAUGUAAGACAGAGUUGACAGAGACCACCCUACAGUAUCCACAUCUUCCAAGUCACUGCUCUUCUUUCCUUAAAACUGGUGAGUGUAUGAUUUUAAAGCACUGUUUCCCAACUCCUAC
rnacentral:lncRNA from 1 species